rnacentral:rRNA from 1 species
UACAGAGGUCUCAAGCGUUGUUCGGAUUCAUUGGGCGUAAAGGGUGUGUAGGUGGCGCUGUAAGUCGGGUGUGAAAUUUCGGAGCUUAACUCCGAAACUGCAUUCGAUACUGCGGUGCUUGAGGACUGGAGAGGAGACUGGAAUUCAUGGUGUAGCAGUGAAAUGCGUAGAGAUCAUGAGGAAGACCCGUGGCGAAGGCGGGUCUCUGGACAGUUCCUGACACUGAGACACGAAGGCCAGGGGAGCAAACGGG